GGCGCGCAGGCGGCGCGGGUGCGCGGUGCGGCGCUGGUAUCCAGAGGACGCGGUCACCGCCUCUGGCAUUUGUCGUUCUGCGCUUCUCCGCAAGGACCCUCUGUUAGGCAGGCGCCCACCGUAAGCCUCCCGGGCCUUGUGAACCUGCAAACCCAAGUCUGAGAGACGAUCCGCCUUCAGCGCUUUCCAGCUUGGCAGAGAGGCUUUCCCGGCGGGGAUCUUUGGUUGGCGCUGGCGAUGCGCGGGGAAGAAAGGCGAGGAGCGGCGUCCAGGCUGGGUGAUGUCCCAGCACGAGUAGGCGGGAUGCGCUCGCUUGGUCCUCCGGGCGCCCGGUCCCUGCCCGCGUCGCGCGCCCACCCCUGGGGACGAGAAGGCGGCCGCCUGAGGACCCCCGCCCGCGACCUCCGCGAGUCUGGAGCGCAGAGGACAGGGUCUGGCUGCUCUUUGGCCUUGGAUGGAAAGUGGGGAAUUGGGUGGGGGGCUGCGGACCCCUUAACGUGGAUUACUUGGUGUGUAUCAGCUGGGCUCAGAAGACCCACGACCUCUUCUCCAUCCGUGGAUUGAUUUGUUCUGCUUAACAGCUGGGUCGCCAAGCUGGAGGCAUUGGUGCAGCCGCUUUGGUUCUUCAGCAUGUGGGCUGUGGUGGUCUUCGGCGCCCAUCGGAAGCUGAUUUGAAGAUUUAGCAGCCUGUGUGGAAGCGGGGGUUCUGUUGCGCUUUACAAAGUGAAAGGAAGGUGUCUGAGGUGCUGGCCUUUGGGGACAAUUUCACUAUACCAGACUUCUUUAGGGGAUCCAGGACUAAGCCGAGGAAGGUGUUUCUGAACCUCAGGGAAUCUGUGGCCACUGGCAAGCCAGCGGAAAAUUCAGGUAUUUUUCCCUCUCCACCCUGGUCUUCUCCUGUAACGUGUGGCCGCCUUUUCCAGCACGGCCUCCUGCCUUCCUGGUGCACUUUUUGGAGAACGUGGUGGAAUCAGAGGUUUCUGGCUGACUCGGUGGGUGCUUUGAACCAGGAAAGGACAAGAAAGAG
rnacentral:lncRNA from 1 species